CCGCGAGCUUGCGCUUGGUUUUACUGCGUUCCGGAGCUGGGUAUGAUGAAUUUACAUUCUUCAGGGAGUCAAGUUCACAACUUCAGUAUGACAUGACAUUUCGGCGUGUGUCUGGUGUUUUAGGUGCCACUUGUGUUGUAGCGAGUGCCAGUCUCGAUGUGUCCUGCGCUUGUCGCAAAAAUCAGACGGAAAUUAACAGCUUCUACGUUGAAAGCUUUGACGAUGAUGGCACGAAGACUCCAAGCUACUUUUCCUUGGACUGUGAGGAUGACGCAGAUGGAAAGUCUGACUCAGAUACGGAGUGGAAU